CUCCUACGGGAGGCAGCAGUGGGGAAUUUUGCGCAAUGGGGGAAACCCUGACGCAGCAACGCCGCGUGGAGGAUGAAAUCCCUUGGGAUGUAAACUCCUUUCGAUAGGGAAGAUAAUGACGGUACCUACUAGAAGAAGCCCGGCUAACUUCGUGCCAGCCGCCGCGGUAAUUC
rnacentral:rRNA from 1 species